rnacentral:rRNA from 1 species
UGAGGAAUAUUGGUCAAUGGGCGAGAGCCUGAACCAGCCAAGUAGCGUGAAGGAUGACUGCCCUAUGGGUUGUAAACUUCUUUUAUAAAGGAAUAAAGUCGGGUUAUGGAUACCCGUUUGCAUGUACUUUAUGAA